rnacentral:lncRNA from 1 species
UGCUCACCACGGGGAAACCCGGCCUCAUGGUCGGGCUGCGGGGGGCUGAGGAGGAGCCACACGGGGGCUAGGCCCCAAGUCUGGGGGGUCCCUGCCGCCAGCGGUGUUCUGGGAGCUCCUGGGCCUGGUGGAGCCCCCGUGCCAUUGAGGUGACAGACACUGGUGAUGGAGAUGGCGGUGACAGGCUGUGGAACUGAAGCCUG